rnacentral:rRNA from 1 species
GAUCAACGCUGGCGGCGUGCUUAACACAUGCAAGUCGAACGAUGAAGCCCAGCUUGCUGGGUGGAUUAGUGGCGAACGGGUGAGUAACACGUGAGUAACCUGCCCUUAACUCUGGGAUAAGCCUGGGAAACUGGGUCUAAUACCGGAUAGGAGCGUCCACCGCAUGGUGGGUGUUGGAAAGAUUUAUCGGUUUUGGAUGGACUCGCGGCCUAUCAGCUUGUUGGUGAGGUAAUGGCUCACCAAGGCGACGACGGGUAGCCGGCCUGAGAGGGUGACCGGCCACACUGGGACUGAGACACGGCCCAGACUCCUACGGGAGGCAGCAGUGGGGAAUAUUGCACAAUGGGCGCAAGCCUGAUGCAGCGACGCCGCGUGAGGGAUGACGGCCUUCGGGUUGUAAACCUCUUUCAGUAGGGAAGAAGCGAAAGUGACGGUACCUGCAGAAGAAGCACCGGCUAACUACGUG